rnacentral:tRNA from 1 species
GGAUUGUUAGUAUAACGAUAAUUAUAGCAGACUCUUAAUUUGACAGAUCUGAGUUCGAAUCUCAGGCGAUCCACCA